ensembl:miRNA microRNA 744
GGUUGGGCAAGGUGCGGGGCUAGGGCUAACAGCAGUCUCACUGAAGGUUUCCUGGAAACCGCACACAUGCUGUUGCCACUAACCUCAACCUUACUCGGCC